rnacentral:rRNA from 1 species
GAGACAGCAGUAGCCACGGGAAUACAGAGGGUGCAAGCGUUAAUCGGAAUUACUGGGCGUAAAGCGCGCGUAGGUGGUUUGUUAAGUUGGAUGUGAAAUCCCCGGGCUCAACCUGGGAACUGCAUCCAAAACUGGCAAGCUAGAGUAUGGUAGAGGGUGGUGGAAUUUCCUGUGUAGCGGUGAAAUGCGUAGAUAUAGGAAGGAACACCAGUGGAGAAGGCGACCACCUGGACUGAUACUGACACUGAGGUGCGAAAGCGUGGGGAGCAAACAGGAUUAGAUACCCCAGUAGUCCCUGUCUCUUAUAC